rnacentral:rRNA from 1 species
GAUGAACGCUAGCGGCAGGCUUAACACAUGCAAGUCGAGAGGUAUAGUUCUUCGGAAUUAGAGACCGGCGCACGGGUGCGUAACGCGUAUGCAAUCUACCUUUCACAGAGGGAUAGCCCAGAGAAAUUUGGAUUAAUACCUCAUAGUAUAGCAGUUUCGCAUGAAACCACUAUUAAAGUCACAACGGUGAAAGAUGAGCAUGCGUCCCAUUAGCUAGUUGGUAAGGUAACGGCUUACCAAGGCAACGAUGGGUAGGGGUCCUGAGAGGGAGAUCCCCCACACUGGUACUGAGACACGGACCAGACUCCUAACGGGAGACAGCAGUGAGGAAUAUUGGACCAAAUGGGCGCAAGCCUGAUCCAGCCAUGCCGCGUGCAGGAAGAAGGUCCUAUGGAUUG